rnacentral:rRNA from 1 species
UACGUAGGGUGCAAGCGUUAAUCGGAAUUACUGGGCGUAAAGCGUGCGCAGGCGGUUUUGUAAGUCUGACGUGAAAUCCCCGGGCUCAACCUGGGAAUUGCGUUGGAGACUGCAAGGCUAGAAUCUGGCAGAGGGUGGUAGAAUUCCACGUGUAGCAGUGAAAUGCGUAGAGAUGUGGAGGAACACCGAUGGCGAAGGCAGCCCCCUGGGUCAAGAUUGACGCUCAUGCACGAAAGCGUGGGGAGCAAACAGG